rnacentral:misc_RNA from 1 species
CUGGAAUAAACGCCCUCACAGGUGCUACCCAGAAACCCUUUGUGAAUACUGCCUAAAAUGUUGCCUCGGCAUUGGUUGGCCUCUUUGAGGUCCCUUUCCCUCGGGGAAGGAGCAGACCGGCCGGUGGCCCUAUAAACUCUUGGUUUUGUAAUAUCAUCUGAGUAAAAAACAUAAAUAAAACAAAACUUUCAACAA